rnacentral:rRNA from 1 species
GAUGAACGCUGGCGGCGUGCCUAAUACAUGCAAGUCGAGCGAACAGACGAGGAGCUUGCUCCUCUGACGUUAGCGGCGGAGGGGUGAGUAACACGUGGAUAACCUACCUAUAAGACUGGGAUAACUUCGGGAAACCGGAGCUAAUACCGGAUAAUAUAUUGAACCGCAUGGUUCAAUAGUGAAAGACGGUUUUGCUGUCACUUAUAGAUGGAUCCGCGCCGCAUUAGCUAGUUGGUAAGGUAACGGCUUACCAAGGCGACGAUGCGUAGCCGACCUGAAAGGGUGAUCGGCCACACUGGAACUGAGACACGGUCCAGACUCCUACGGGAGGCAGCAGUAGGGAAUCUUCCGCAAUGGGCGAAAGCCUGACGGAGCAACGCCGCGUGAGUGAUGAAGGUCUUCGGAUCGUAAAACUCUGUUAUUAGGGAAGAACAAAUGUGUAAGUAACUAUGCACGUCUUGACGGUACCUAAUCAGAAAGCCACGGCUAACUACGUG